AUGUUCUACACUCUUCUGUUAAUGCUGACCACUGCAGCUUCCUAUGUUCAGUGUGAAAUCUCUCUCACUCAGCCGAGUUCAGUGAUGAUAAAGCCAGGAGGAUCUCUGAGCAUCAGCUGUAAAGUAUCUGGUUAUUCAGUUACUGAUGACAGCUACGCCACAGGAUGUUGGAGUCAAACUCUGAUACAGUCUGAAGCAGUGAUCAUUACACCUGGAGGAUCUCAUACUCUCACCUGUACAGCGUCUGGUAUAGACUUUGAUGGCAGCUGGAUGGGCUGGAUUAGACAGGCUGCUGGAAAAGGUUUAGAAUGGGUGGCAAACAUUAGAGGAGACAGUCAGUACAAGUAUUACUCUCAGACAGUUCAGGGAAGAUUCACCAUCUCCAGAGAUAACAGUAAGGAUCAGGUGUAUCUGCAGAUGAGCAGUAUGAAGACUGAAGACACAGCUGUGUAUUACUGCGCCCGAGAGACACAGUGA